rnacentral:RNase_P_RNA from 1 species
GCAAGCUGGUGGGCAGGUGUCGGGCAUUUGUCUGAGGAAGCUUCACCUCGCUUGUGGAGAAGUGGCGUCGUGAGACGCAAGGGGAGACCCUUAACCACGGUGCAGAAACGAUAUCCCUCCUGUCAAAUGUGUAUGAGAUGACGGCUGAAGCGAGGCUUUCGCUUGUCAUCGACGAUGGCAUGUGAGAGAGAGUGAAACGCCCGUUUCACUUGCGACAAGGCCAAGUAGAAGUUGAUGAGGUCCACACGAGACUCGGGUAGGCCGCAUAGCUGAAUCCUGCCUAGAACAGAAGGUGAGCUACGACCAGCAUGC